AUUUCCAUUCAAUUUUAAAUCUAUACGUACGUAGCAUGUUUAUAAAGGCUUCAAAAUUUUUGCAGGUGAUAUUGCUAAGUAGCCUGCAUUAUUCUGUGGCUAUUCGUGGCUCAUUUGGGAAUUGCUCUCGCUACUUUGGAAUGCGCCUCGAGAUGCAGUGCACUGGCCAGCUAACGAAACAACUGAAACUCAGGUAUCCGGACGGAUAUGCAGACACCGAUAUUCCGUAUGCAAUCUUUGCGCCAAACCAUUUAAUGCUAUUUGUUUUCGUUACAAUGUACUACUCGCCAAUCAUGAACUGUAGCACUCUUCGAGUGCUAGACUCUAACAACUUCGAAUGCGAUUCACAAGACCAAUUUAAAUUGGCGCUCUCUAGGAUGUUCUGCUACGACAGUCCCUUGACUUAUACGGCGGCACUCCGAGAUAAUUGCAUGAGUGCAAAGAAUUUCGGAUAUCGCGCCAUAGACCAAUCUAUUUUACAAUAUGCAGAUGCUCCAUGUACGGGUAGAUUAAAAACAGCUAAGUGGUGGCUACUGCUUAUCACGGCAAUAGCCAUUAUGAGGCCCUUUUAGCAUUUGGAUGACGAUUACAUUUCGACAGACUUCAAAUAACCUUAGGUUAAAAUAAAGCCUGCUAUGUGAAAUCUUUCGAUAAGAAAUCGGAAUCGAGAUGCUCCAUAUACAUAGAAGAGUCUGCCAGCUAUACGUAUAAUCUUUCAUAUUACAGAUAAAGGGCAACAAGAGAUCUGUGGUUGGUUCCACUAAAAAUAGAAAGGAUUGCAUCAUUAAAAGCGAGUAUGCAGUUAAUAUAAAUGAACAAAAGCAUAUACUCAUAUAUGGAAUAAGAUUGAAUUUACUUUCAAUUGAGUCUUAGUGGCCAUUCUCCUUCUACUGAAAAUAAUAUGCUUCAUAUGGAAUCAGAUAAACCCUACUUUUAAAUAACCACAAAUAUGAUUCGUUAUUUGGAAACAAGGUUAUAUUCACAAAAUGAAUUGAUUCUAUUGCGACAAUGGAGCGACAACAAUGGAGCAUAUCCUUCCCUGAAUCCAGGUGUACUGCACAUGAAAGGCAAAAUUGAAUUAAGUCAGAAAAAUGUGAGAAAAAUAAAAGAAAAUUGAAAACCAGUAACCAUCCAGAGUUUGACAUUUCGUGCCAAUGUAAACCCUUCUGCAACUAUUGAAAGCCAAAUCAUGUGCAGUUUCUCGCUGGCUACACGCACUUUGCCGGUGGCAACACUCGUUGCUACCUCGGCAUAUAUUGAUGUGGCUUUUACGGGGGCUAAUACACACGGUCGUAACACGGUGACGAAGCUUAUUUUAAUUUUAAUAUGUGUCACAUGAUUUACAGCUGACGCUCGUGGCGCUCUCUUUGUGCCCAGACAGGGUUCUUAGCGGCCUCUGUACUCUGCUAUUGACAGAUUUCUCGAACAAAACGUUAAUCUCACCGUGCUAUAUUCGCUCUCACUAGCAUCACUUUGCUGAUGAAACCGAUGCCAAAUACAUGUGGAAACAAAGAGUAAGCCUUCAUGCAUCGUAAAUACUAAUUACCUACCAUAGCUGGGCAUUUCAAACUUGCACAACUUUGUUAAGUUUGGAACGAUUCGAUUUUAAAUGUGGGCACACAAAAGUGAAAGGGCAUACAUUGGGCAGAUAGCUUUUCAAUUUUGGGAGGCUCGAUUUGAAUUAUAUCUAAACAAAACCAAAGUCUUUUCGUGUUUUACCCAUUUUGAAUGGCAAC